AAGAAUCAUCAAAGUCUUAGCCAUGGGAUCCCCACCUGCAUGCGAGAGCAACCUGGAGGGCCUUUGACAGCGCGGGCCAGCCCGUGCCUGCAGCUGCCACUCCGCUUUCCAAUAGUG